rnacentral:lncRNA from 1 species
AUAUAGAAUGUUUUCCUCCUCUCCAGCACCAGGUCUGCCUACACACGGCUGUGCUUCCCACCAUGAUGAUAAUGAACUAAACCCCUGAAACUAAGCCAGCCCAGAGUAUGUUUUCCAUCAUGAGAGCUGCCAUGGUCAUGGGGUCUCUUCACAGCAAGAGAACCCCUGACUCAGACAGUGAGUUUGGAGGUGAGAAGACGAUUGUGGGGAGUCAGCUCUCUCUUUCCAUCACUGCGGAUCCCAGCGGAAGGACGUUAGGUCGUCAGCUCAGUGACAAGCGUCUGUACCUCUAAUCCAUCCCGCCCCUGCCCUUUGCAGUAGCCAUGUCUGUUUGUCAACUUGAUGAUACCCGGAAUGAGCAACCAUCCAGAAGUGGAGGACAUACCUAUGGGAGAUGACUCUGCUGGGUUUGUAGUGGAUGAAUCUACUUCUAGACGAGCUUUGAGGUGAGGGAAGACAUACCUUUAACCUGGGCCACACCCUCUGCUGGAAGUCUAUGGAAGAGGACGACAUAGGAAGCUUUCGCUCUUUGCCUGCUCACCCUCGCCUCUCGAGCACAUCCAUCCCUUCACUGGCGUUAGCGCCGCCUACUUCUGCGGGAUUCCGGCAGAUACAGGAGAUCAGCUGAGACGUCCAGCCUUGUGGACCGAGCAACCACUGGAUUCUUGGGCUUUAUGUUCACGGUCAACUGUUGUUUGAUUAGCUGGACAACAGCCUCUCUCUCUCGAUAGAUAGAUAGAUAGAUAGAUAAAAGUAGAUAGAUAGAUAGACAGAGAGGGGGGAGAGAGAUUCAUUCUAUAAGUUCUGCUCUAGAGAACCGUGACGAAUACACCUUCUUCUUCUUCUUCUUCUUCUUCUUCUUCUUCUUCUUCUUCUUCUUCUUCUUCUUCUUCUUCCUUCUUCUUUUUUUUUUUCUGAGACAUAGUCUCCCAUAGUUACUCAGGCCCUUGGGCUUCCUCUGCAGCACAAAUAGCUUUGAAUUUUCUCUCCUGUCUCAGCUUCCAGUAGCUAGGAUUAUAGUCUGUUGCCACCAGGUCUGGCUUACUAGCAUUAUUUUGACACCACUAAUUUUGUGUCAUAGCAUCAAUAGAAAAACCAGCUGAGUCUAGUCAAUGAAAAACCCAAAACAAGACAUUAGCAUAGGUGCUACCAGCAAUAUCUGCAGAAGACCACAGACUCGGAGUGGAGUCCAGCAUCUGCUCAGUACACCAAGCGAAUGUCGGGAAAGUUCAAAGGCAGGACCCGCGAAUCAUUGGCUCCUGGAGACCCUGAAAUGGACUGAGCAGCUAACUAUUAAGUUCUGUGUGUAUGUGUCAGUUCUCUUGCUCUGCAGACACCUUCAGAAUUCAGCGCUGGCUGCCGUUCUCAGAACCUGCUCUGUUUUGGAGCUGCGUCAUUGUUGUAUUGUUUUCUUUGUUCAACUAAACUCUACGUCCUAUGAUAGAACUAAGGAAUUCUUCCUUUCCUCAACACAAUUAUAUCAAUAAUUAAAUAUGAAAUGUGUGGACCCAGCUAC